rnacentral:lncRNA from 1 species
UUCCUCGGAGAACCACCCACACCUUCACCCGAAACCCACACCGUAACCACCUCGACCCACAGCCACUCUCCUUUCCUCACCGGAGAACCCACACUUCGCCGGUGAAUCGGAGGCGAUACCGGAUCCUUACCGGAGUUCGAAGAUCACGUCGGAACGCGGAACUCUCGUCGGAAUCCUUUACCACUCGCCGGAACUUCCUGCUGCCAUCGGAGACCACCGCCUGCCACCUUCUUCUCCGGUAACACCCUCAUCCUGCUCUCCGAUGCUUUCCGGCUAAACUCCGGCCGACUAUGUUGAUAUAUAAAACGGUAAAUCUCUUGUGCUUGUUGCCACACUUUUGGAUCCAACUCAAUCUCUUCUUACUUUCCAAACGCAACGCAAACAAUGUUGAUAGAUGAAGAAUUCAAG